rnacentral:rRNA from 1 species
GACGGAGGGUGCAACGUUGCUCGGAAUCACUGGGCAUAAAGCGCACGUAGGCGGCCAACUAAGUCAGGUGUGAAAGCCCCGGCUCAACCGGGGAAUUGCUCCUGAUACUGGAUGGCUUGAAUCCGGGAGAGGGAUGCGGAAUUCCAGGUGUAGCGGUGAAAUGCGUAGAUAUCUGGAGGACACCGGUGGCGAAGGCGGCAUCCUGGACCGGCAUUGACGCUGAGGAGCGAAAGCCAGGG